UCGGUCCCGGUUCACGUGCGGCACUCCCAGCCGCCGACCCGGUGCC
rfam:Streptomyces aureofaciens strain ATCC 10762 contig_20, whole genome shotgun sequence.